AUACGUAGGGUGCGAGCGUUGUCCGGAAUUACUGGGCGUAAAGAGCUCGUAGGUGGUUUGUCGCGUCGUCUGUGAAAUUCCGGGGCUUAACUCCGGGCGUGCAGGCGAUACGGGCAUGACUUGAGUACUGUAGGGGAGACUGGAAUUCCUGGUGUAGCGGUGAAAUGCGCAGAUAUCAGGAGGAACACCGGUGGCGAAGGCGGGUCUCUGGGCAGUAACUGACGCGGAGGAGCGAAAGCAUGGGUAGCGAACAGGAUUAGAGACCCUGGUAGUCCAUGCGGUAAACGGUGGGCGCUAGGUGUAGGGGUCUUCCACGACUUCUGUGCCGUAGCUAACGCAUUAAGCGCCCCGCCUGGGGAGUACGGCCGCAAGGCUAAAACUCAAAUGAAUUGACGGGG
rnacentral:rRNA from 1 species